rnacentral:lncRNA from 1 species
GACUCCCAAUGAAAGAACUGCUCUGAUAUUACUUCUAUCACGACCCAAACCGAAGGGCCGCGACGGGCACCCGGUGCCUUACUCAACCGAGUACCAACAUAACACAUCUUUCUUAUUAUACUAUCUUGAGCAAAAUAAGCCAGAAACUUGUCACGAGAUAACAAGAAUAAAACAUAAGGGAGUACUCAACAUAUAACGACCCAACAUGAUAUACAAACUUAUACAUGUGACAUACGGGCCUAUAAGGCCGACAUGACCAUUUGUAAACUCAACACAUAGGCCAACAAGGCCAUUCAAGUAUCCAUAAACCUGACAUCUGUCUACAAGCCUCUAAGAGUACAUAAAAUCAUAAAGGUCGGGACAGGGCCCCAUCAUACCAAUCAAUACAUAUCCAAAGCAUAUUGACCAAAUAGGCAACUCCGGAGCAAGUGGAAUGUACCAACACCUCCGCUGAGCUUAUAGCCUACUAGGAGGAAUGUCAACCUAUCAAUUGGGACCUGCAGGCAUGAAACACAGCGUUCCCAGGCAAAAGGGACGUUAGUACGACUAAAAUACCGAGUAUGUAAGGUAGGAAAGCAUAAACAAGAACAGUAAUUUAAAGAGAGAUAGAUGAGAUACAACAUGUAACAUCUGCGUGCCUCUGGGGGCUAUUGACAUGAAAUGCAUAAUACAUAUAUAUACAUAAACUUUUAGAAACAUACGCCUCUGUAAGCAUCAUCAUCAUCAUAUCGUACCCGGCCUCAAAGAGGACUCGGUAAAAACAUACCCGGCCAUUAUAAGGCUCGGUAGAAUCGUACCCGGCCACGUGGAGCUUGGUAAACCCAACUAAUCAGUGGUUGUACAAUAGGUGUCGUACCCGGCCGACUAUAGCGCAGCUCGGUGGAUUAAAGUAGAUACAUAUAUAAUGCAUGUUGGACUCAUAGAAUCAUGUUCUAAACCUUUCGAAGUGACGUAAGGUCAUUGCACCUUCGAUUAACAUUAUGGACAUCCCUACCAUCAAUAUGAACCUUAGUAGGAUUUAAGUAUCAUACACACUUGCUUAGAAUAACUUUAUAAGGAAAGAACAACAUGGACAACCUUAGUUUCUAGGAGUAGAUCCGUUAUAAAUUAGCAUACCGUUUAUGUUCGUUUCACUUUAGAACAUGCCAAUAGAAAGAAGUAAGUGCCUUAACAUACCUUAACCAUGUUGAGUCCUUAAUACCUCCCAGGCAACCCUUCAAACAACUCAAUUCAAUCUACCAUUGCAUAAGGAGAUUCAAAAUCAAUAUUGAAUAAAGGCUAAGUCUGCAAGAUAAACUUGGAGCUCGUUAUAUAAAUUUGGGCAACAUCUCCCUGUAACAAGAGCCUACUCCAAUACCAUAUACCAACAACAAUUACCAGAGAAAUCCAACAAUACAUAAUUAUCAAUAAUAAGACACCAUAAAACAACAACAAGUCACAACUAUUUUACGACGAGCGGCAAGCUCCAAUUGGAAUUCGUAUAUCCCAUAUCACCCUUAUAGACUAUUACUUUAACUUAAUAGUAUCAUUAAUAUGAUAAUGAAGUCGUUCAUCAAUAAUUUCAGCCUCAUACCAUAUAUCCAGAACAAAGAAAACGAUCCACAACUCCAAUUAUUCUCAAUUAGCAACUUUAUUCACUAGUUCAUGUCUAGUUCAUCUAUUUAACUCAAUCGAUGUCAAUAUAACCUUAAGAACCUGUAGGAACACAAUAUAAUUACAUCCUACAAUAGAUGCAAGUCGAAAUCCAUGUUAUAUUUAGCUUACAACAUCCCAACAUACCCAAAUCGAUUCAUAUCCAAAACGACGACUAUAGUAGUGUCAAACAUAAUGACUAAUCCAUGAUUUUUCCAUUAUGUGGUGUUUCUCCACAAAAUUUAUCCUCAAAAAACUCCAUUUAAUAGAAACAAAAUAGACAGCCCAAAAGCUACACGAAACAGCCCAAAAACAAUCCAUUACAAGUCAAAUAACUCGAACUCACGGCUUCCGAUCACCGUCCCGUGAGUUCUAACUAUUAUGAAAUCAAUUAAUCAACCUUCCUUGAUAUUUAAGAGCUUAAAACCAGAAAUUAAGAAUUUUCUCAACUAUUAAAUAUCUUUAAAAAAACUUAAACUACAAAGAAAAAGAGAGGCAAUAUAGCAAUACUUACGCUGUGGGGAUUGUUCUAGUGUUAUUGCUUCUUGAUUUCAUGCACGGGAUGAUGGUAUUGUUGGAAACCCUUGUAGAGAGCUUAAGGGUGAUGUUAGGGGUCUUGUUUGGUUGUGC